rnacentral:rRNA from 1 species
AUUGAACGCUAGCGGGAUGCUUUACACAUGCAAGUCGAACGAGUGGCGGACGGGUGAGUAAUAUAUCGGAACGUGCCCAGUAGCGGGGGAUAACUACUCGAAAGAGUGGCUAAUACCGCCUAAUAUUGGUACAGCCGAUAUCGGAUUAGCUAGUUGGGGGGUGAAAGGCUCACCAAGGCAACGAUCCGUAGCUGGUUUGAGAGGACGACCAGCCACACGGCGACUGAGACCCGGCCCAGACUCUUACGGGAGGCAGCAGGGGGGAAUUUUUGACAAUGGGGGAAACCCUGAUCCAGCCAUCCCGCUUGUAUGAGAAGGCCUUCGGGUUGUAAAGUACUUUUGGCAGAGAAGCGGUAUCUGCAGAAUAAGCACCGGCUAACUACGUGCCAGCAGCCGCGGUAAUUC